rnacentral:rRNA from 1 species
AUGAACGCUGGCGGCGUGCCUAAUACAUGCAAGUCGAGCGAACAGACGAGGAGCUUGCUCCUCUGACGUUAGCGGCGGACGGGUGAGUAACCCGUGGAUAACCUACCUAUAAGACUGGGAUAACUUCGGGAAACCGGAGCUAAUACCGGAUAAUAUAUUGAACCGCAUGGUUCAAUAGUGAAAGCCGGUUUUGCUGUCACUUAUAGAUGGAUCCGCGCCGCAUUAGCUAGUUGGUAAGGUAACGGCUUACCAAGGCAACGAUGCGUAGCCGACCUGAGAGGGUGAUCGGCCACACUGGAACUGAGACACGGUCCAGACUCCUACGGGAGGCAGCAGUAGGGAAUCUUCCGCAAAGGGCGAAAGCUUGACGGAGCAACGCCGCGUGAGUGAUGAAGGUCUUCGGAUCGUAAAACUCUGUUAUUAGGGAAGAACAAAUGUGUAAGUAACUAUGCACGUCUUGACGGUACCUAAUCAGAAAGCCACGGCUAACUACGUG